UCUCUCUCUGCCUGUGUUGAAUUUAGUGCCAUAUUUCCUCUCAGAUCUACCUAUCAACCCAUCUGAAUCCAUUUCUAUGGCACUCCAUGAGCAUUCCGAACUACUUAUCAGUCACCAACCAAUGAUCUCUUUUCUGGUGAGGAGCUCCUUCUUUUUUUUUUUUUGUGCCUCUCACAAUCUCCCUCCAUCUUCAUCUUCUUCUAUUUUCUUUCCACCGCCGUUAUGAAACGUAUUCCGAUCAUCGAAAUCAUCGAAUUGGUGAGAUGAUGAGUUUGGAUUCACCGCUCUACGUGGAUUCUUCCUCUAGAUCUAAUUUCGUCGAAGCUUUAUGUAGAUUCAUCUGAUGGGUGUGGGUAGAUCUUCAAGAUCUCAGACUUGCAGUGGAAUAGAUUCAUCUGAUGGGUGUGGGUAGAUCUUCAAGAUCUCAGACUUGCAGUGGAAUGGAGAUGGCCGGUGAUGAACGAAAGCUAUGGUUCCGCACCGGCGAGCUGUGGAUGACUGGAUGCUAAGUGCGAUGGAGGCCAUCAGAGAGAGAGAGCAGUGGUGGUGGGAUGUAUGGUCUAGGUUGUUGACCGGCGAUGAGAGAGCAGUGGUGACUAAGUCGGCCGGCGGUGAUGUCUGAGCCGAUCUCUGAUUUUAUUUCUUUUAUUAUUUAUUUUUAAAUUUUGUCACAUAUCCAGUUUGUUAUCCAAUUUUGUAUCAAACAACUGAUAAGAUUAGGAUUAGCUAUCUUAACCUCUUACAAAUCCAAUCCUAUUCAAACAGGUUAACUAAUCUAAUCCUAUCUACAAGUUCAGGUCUUCAGGAUAUGGAACAGAAAGCUGCAACAGAAAACUGAAAUAUGCCAAGCCCUCCUCCAAUCAUCAUCAUGGGUUUACUUUAAUUUUUUCAGUUCUUGGAGGACUGGCAUAUAUAUCUUUUGUUUAGCAUUUUACUAAAUUGCAAUUGAUGCUUAUUUUGCAGUCAGUAAUAUGGAAGAAAGAACUUCAGGAAACGACGAACAAGAGAAGACAAAGAUUUGUUACUUGCUCAAGCAGGAACUUGGAUAGUUGAUGAUAAAAUAGCCAUCAAACCUCAGGUACUUUUCUAUAAACCAAUAUGGUACUGAAAUGCUAAUAACUACAUUACAAUUAUCGUCAUUUGAAUUUCUAGGAUAAAUUAGUUUUACCAAAACCUACAAGCUUAGCCUUCUGUUAUAAACUUGUGAUAGUUUACUGCUCUACCAUCAAAGUUCUUGUGUUUGAUGACUUUGUUCAUAUGGCGUCAAGGGAAAUUCACUUCAUGUUGCAUAUCACUUAUUAAAUGCAAGAAAAAUGACAACAUUGAAACAAUUAAAAUUGGUGAAUUGAAGAUAAUUAAAUGCCACUGACUAAUCAACCGCAUCUCAUAUGCUUGUUAGACUAAUUAACGUAAUCAACUGCAUCUCAUAUGCUUGUUAGACUAAUUAACGUAUUCAUGUUCCAACGGUGAAUUUCUGCUAUUGCUGCAUGUCUCGAUCGAACUACAAUAUCAGUUAAUUGGGUUAGUGAGUCUUUUUCUUCCUAUGUUCAAAUUAGUCAUUGUAAACUAUCCUACACCAUUGUUAUUUGUAUUUAAUCUUUUCUUAGACAUAAUGUGUUAGGAGGUUAUCAUUUGGAAUAGACAGCUACAAAAGCGUAUGAUAGAACAAAACUUAAGCAUGGGAGCACACAAGAAUACGUUACUCACUGAGAAGGAUAAUUUAUAUCAAGUCCAACUCAGAGUAUCCAGCUUCCAUGUUGAAUUUUGAAGAGUCUGAACUGUUGUUCAAGACAAGGAGAAGUUAAGGCAAGGUCAAUUAGUAUAUGGUAUGUAGAGAUUACAGAUCUACUUAUGUACAAAAUUUUCAGUUCAUGUUAGAGCUGUUGUUGGAGCCUGGGAGAAGUUGAGGUCAUAAGCCAUUUCGUUUGUUGGUUAGUAUUUAGAGAAGUAUAACACUAUUGAUGUACUAAAGUUUGCAUAGAAAGAUUUAUUUAACUAUUUUGUUGAUUUUUACAAUAUAGGAAAUUAUUGUUGUAUAUUCAAUACACAGAUAUUGGAUUUUCAUUAUAUAUACCAGAAAAAA